GUGGAGGGUCAUUGGAAACUGGGAGACUUGAGUGCAGAAGAGGAAAGUGGAAUUCCAUGUGUAGCGGUGAAAUGCGUAGAAUAUGGUGGAACACCAGUGGCGCAGGCGACUUUCUGGUGCUGUGCUGACACUGAGGCGCGAAAGCGUGGGGAGCAUACAGGAUUAGAUACCCUGGUAGUCCACGCCGUAAACGAUGAGUGCUAGU
rnacentral:rRNA from 1 species